CGGUCGCAAGAUUAAAACUCAAAGGAAUUGACGGGGACCCGCACAAGCGGUGGAUGAUGUGGAUUAAUUCGAUGCAACGCGAAAAACCUUACCUACCCUUGACAUGUCUGGAAUCCCGAAGAGAUUUGGGAGUGCUCGCAAGAGAACCGGAACACAGGUGCUGCAUGGCUGUCGUCAGCUCGUGUCGUGAGAUGUUGGGUUAAGUCCCGCAACGAGCGCAACCCUUGUCCUUUGGUUGUUACGAAAGGGCACUCUAAUGAGACUGCCGGUGACAAACCGGAGGAAGGUGGGGAUGACGUCAAGUCCUCAUGGCCCUUAUGGGUAGGGCUUCACACGUCAUACAAUGGUCGGGACAGAGGGUCGCCAACCCGCGAGGGGGAGCCAAUCCCAGAAACCCGAUCGUAGUCCGGAUCGCAGUCUGCAACUCGACUGCGUGAAGUCGGAAUCGCUAGUAAUCGCGGAUCAGCAUGUCGCGGUGAAUACGUUCCCGGGUCUUGUACACACCGCCCGUCACACCAUGGGAGUGGGUUUUUCCAGAAGUAGUUAGUCUAACUUCAAGGGGGGCCAGUAUCGUUUUAUCAUUCCAAAG
rnacentral:rRNA from 1 species